rnacentral:rRNA from 1 species
AGAGUUGAUCAUGGCUCAGGAUGAACGCUGGCAGUGUGCCUAAAACAUGCAAGUCGGACGGUUCUGAGGUUAGAGGCUGGAGGCUAAGGGAUUAGCUUGCAGUCUCUAAUUUCAGGACAGUGGCGAACGGGUGAGUAACGCGUAAGUAACCUACCCCCAGGACGGGGAUAACAUUCCGAAAGGGAUGCUAAUACCCGAUGAGGUUAAGUGACUGAGAUGUCAGAUAACCAAAGGGAAGCGAAAGUGACCGCCUGGGGAUGGGCUUGCGUCCCAUCAGCUAGUUGGUAGGGUAAGAGCCUACCAAGGCAAAGACGGGUAGCUGGCUUGAGAGGGUGGUCAGCCACACUGGGACUGAGACACGGCCCAGACUCCUACGGGAGGCAGCAGUUAGGAAUCUUCCGCAAUGGGCGAAAGCCUGACGGAGCGACACUGCGUGAGGGAAGGAGUCCUUCGGGAUGUAAACCUCUGUCGAGAGGGGAAGAAACAGACGGUACCCUCAAAGGAAGCCCCGGCUAACUACGUGCCAGCAGCCGCGGUAAAACGUAGGGGGCGAGCGUUAUCCGGAAUUACUGGGCGUAAAGGGCGUGUAGGCGGUCAGGUGUAUCGAGGGUGAAAUCCCACGGCUCAACUGUGGGAAGACUCUCGAGAUUAUCUGACUAGAGGGUAGAAGAGGGAGAUAGAAUUCCCGGUGUAGCGGUGGAAUGCGUAGAUAUCGGGAAGAAUGCCGGUGGUGAAGACGGUCUCCCAGGCUACUCCUGACGCUGAGGCGCGAAAGCUAGGGGAGCGAACGGGAUUAGAUACCCCGGUAGUCCUAGCCGUAAACGAUGGACACCAGGUGUAGGGGUUCACAGCCCCUGUGCCGGAGCCAACGCACUAAGUGUCCCGCCUGGGGAGUACGGCCGCAAGGCUAAAACUCAAAUGAAUUGACGG